AGAACUCCAACUGUGUGAGAAGUGCUAUAACAAGGCCAACCCCACAGGCUGCCCACAUUUUACUUCUAGUCACAGUCUGUUGCAACCUACCCUGCAUGCUAAAGACAACCCUGAAAUAAAGAGCAUCGUGAUGCCUUUCUGAACCAAAGGGGAUUCACAGAACCCACCUGAGAAGGCUGUCGUGAACACGAAGUGAGACUAGAUGUGUGCAGAACAGCUACAGAAAAAUACACGAGACAAGGUAACAGUUGGUUCUGGGAAGGGGAUCUGAGUGGGUGGGGC
rnacentral:lncRNA from 1 species